GAUGAACGCUGGCGGCGUGCCUAAUACAUGCAAGUCGAGCGAACGGACGAGAAGCUUGCUUCUCUGAUGUUAGCGGCGGACGGGUGAGUAACACGUGGAUAACCUACCUAUAAGACUGGGAUAACUUCGGGAAACCGGAGCUAAUACCGGAUAAUAUUUUGAACCGCAUGGUUCAAAAGUGAAAGACGGUCUUGCUGUCACUUAUAGAUGGAUCCGCGCUGCAUUAGCUAGUUGGUAAGGUAACGGCUUACCAAGGCAACGAUGCAUAGCCGACCUGAGAGGGUGAUCGGCCACACUGGAACUGAGACACGGUCCAGACUCCUACGGGAGGCAGCAGUAGGGAAUCUGCCGCAAUGGGCGAAAGCCUGACGGAGCAACGCCGCGUGAGUGAUGAGGGUCUUCGGAUCGUAAAACCCUGUUAUUAGGGAAGAACAUAUGUGUAAGUAACUGUGCACAUCUUGACGGUACCUAAUCAGAAAGCCACGGCUAACUACGU
rnacentral:rRNA from 1 species